rnacentral:rRNA from 1 species
GGCCUAUCAGCUUGUUGGUGGGGUAACGGCCCACCAAGGCGACGACGGGUAGCCGGCCUGAGAGGGCGACCGGCCACACUGGGACUGAGACACGGCCCAGACUCCUACGGGAGGCAGCAGUGGGGAAUAUUGCACAAUGGGCGCAAGCCUGAUGCAGCGACGCCGCGUGAGGGAUGACGGCCUUCGGGUUGUAAACCUCUUUCAGUACUGACGAAGCGCAAGUGACGGUAGGUACAGAAGAAGCACCGGCCAACUACGUGCCAGCAGCCGCGGUAAUACGUAGGGUGCGAGCGUUGUCCGGAUUUACUGGGCGUAAAGAGCGCGUAGGCGGCUUGUUAAGUGUGGUGUGAAAUCUCCAGGGCUCAACCCGGAAACUGCACCGCAGACUUGGCAGGCUUGAGGAAUGCAGAGGUAACUGGAAUUCCUGGUGUAGCGGUGAAAUGCGUUGAUAUCAGGAGGAACACCCAUGGCGAAGGCAGGUUACUGG